UAGGAACAUUCAGAAUGAGAUUUUGGACUUCCAGAACACCCUCCGAAAGCAGGUGGAAGACAUCAUUGAUGCGAAUUCCAGGCUGGAAGAAACCAGAAAGCCACCUGCAGGUGGCAAACAUCUGCAGGAGCAUGAAGUGGGCCAAAUGCCG